rnacentral:rRNA from 1 species
GGGAGGCAGCAGUGGGGAAUUUUGGACAAUGGGGGAAACCCUGAUCCAGCCAUCCCGCGUGUGCGAUGAAGGCCUUCGGGUUGUAAAGCACUUUUGGCAGGAAAGAAACGUCAUGGGUUGAUACCCCGUGAAACUGACGGUACCUGCAGAAUAAGCACCGGCUAACUACGUGCCAGCAGCCGCGGUAAUACGUAGGGUGCAAGCGUUAACCGGAAUUACUGGGCGUAAAGCGUGCGCAGGCGGUUCGGAAAGAAAGAUGUGAAGUCCCAGAGCUUAACUUUGGAACUGCAUUUUUAACUACCGGGCUAGAGUGUGUCAGAGGGAGGCGGAAUUCCGCGUGUAGCAGUGAAAUGCGUAGAUAUGCGGAGGAACACCGAUGGCGAAGGCAGCCUCCUGGGAUAACACUGACGCUCAUGCACGAAAGCGUGGGGAGCAAACAGGAUUAGAUACCCUGGUAGUCCACGCCCUAAACGAUGUCAACUAGCUGUUGGGGCCUUCGGGCCUUGGUAGCGCAGCUAACGCGUGAAGUUGACCGCCUGGGGAGUACGGUCGCAAGAUUAAAACUCAAAGGAAUUGACGG